rnacentral:rRNA from 1 species
GACGAACGCUGGCGGCGUGCUUAACACAUGCAAGUCGAACGGAAAGGCCCUGCUUUUGUGGGGUGCUCGAGUGGCGAACGGGUGAGUAACACGUGAGUAACCUGCCCUUGACUUUGGGAUAACUUCAGGAAACUGGGGCUAAUACCGGAUAGGAGCUCCUGCUGCAUGGUGGGGGUUGGAAAGUUUCGGCGGUUGGGGAUGGACUCGCGGCUUAUCAGCUUGUUGGUGGGGUAGUGGCUUACCAAGGCUUUGACGGGUAGCCGGCCUGAGCGGGUGACCGGCCACAUUGGGACUGAGAUACGGCCCAGCCUCCUACGGGAGGCAGCAGUGGGGAAUAUUGCACAAUGGGCGGAAGCCUGAUGCAGCAACGCCGCGUGCGGGAUGACGGCCUUCGGGUUGUAAACCGCUUUCGCCUGUGACGAAGCGUGAGUGACGGUAAUGGGUAAAGAAGCACCGGCUAACUACGUG